rnacentral:tRNA from 1 species
GCUGGAGUGGCGGAACUGGCAGACGCACGGGACUCAAAAUCCCGCGUUCUUCACUGAACAUGUGGGUUCGACCCCCACCUCCAGCA